CUAUUACUCCAUCCGUCUAACAAAAGAUGUCUGAACUUUGUUAAAAUUUGGAUGUAUCUAGACACAAUUGAAGGUAUAGGUGCAUUCAAAUUUAAUCAAAGUUGAGACAUCCUUUGUUGGACAGAGAAAUAUUAA
rnacentral:pre_miRNA from 1 species